AUAUUUCUCGCCUGUUUAUCAAAAACAUGUCUUUUUGUUUUAAUAUUAAAAGUCUGACCUGCCCAAUGUAUUAUUAAUGGCCGCGGUAUCUUGACCGUGCGAAGGUAGCAUAAUGAAUAGUCUAUUAAUUGUGGUCUGGAAUGAAUGGUUUGACGUGGAGUAGCUUUCUUGAUUUUAUAGUUGAAUUUGAAUUAUUAGUUAAAAUGCUAAUAUGAAUUAGAUGGACAAGAAGACCCUAUAGAGCUUUAUAUUUAUUCUAAUAUUGGUAGUAAAUUAAUUGGAUAUAUAUUUUGUUGGGGCGACAUUGAAUACUAAACAUUUGAUUUUUAGUCUUAUUUAAAGGUAAUAUGAUCCAUUAAUAAUGAUUUGAGACUAAGUUACCUUAGGGAUAACAGCGUAAUUUUAUUUUAGAGUUCUUAUCGAUGAUAAAGUUUGCGACCUCGAUGUUGGAUUACAAUUCCUAUGGGAUGCAGGAGUUUCAUAAGGUAGUCUGUUCGACUAUUAAAAUUGUACAUGAUCUGAGUUCAAACCGGCGUAAGCCAGGUUGGUUUCU
rnacentral:rRNA from 1 species